GCGGCGAGUGGCGACGGGUGAGUAAUACAUCGGAACGUGCCCAAUCGUGGGGGAUAACGCAGCGAAAGCUGUGCUAAUACCGCAUACGAUCUACGGAUGAAAGCAGGGGAUCGCAAGACCUUGCGCGAAUGGAGCGGCCGAUGGCAGAUUAGGUAGUUGGUGAGGUAAAGGCUCACCAAGCCUUCGAUCUGUAGCUGGUCUGAGAGGACGACCAGCCACACUGGGACUGAGACACGGCCCAGACUCCUACGGGAGGCAGCAGUGGGGAAUUUUGGACAAUGGGCGCAAGCCUGAUCCAGCCAUGCCGCGUGCAGGAUGAAGGCCUUCGGGUUGUAAACUGCUUUUGUACGGAACGAAACGGCCUUUUCUAAUAAAGAGGGCUAAUGACGGUACCGUAAGAAUAAGCACCGGCUAACUACGUGCCAGCAGCCGCGGUAAUACGUAGGGUGCAAGCGUUAAUCGGAAUUACUGGGCGUAAAGCGUGCGCAGGCGGUGAUGUAAGACAGUUGUGAAAUCCCCGGGCUCAACCUGGGAACUGCAUCUGUGACUGCAUUGCUGGAGUACGGCAGAGGGGGAUGGAAUUCCGCGUGUAGCAGUGAAAUGCGUAGAUAUGCGGAGGAACACCGAUGGCGAAGGCAAUCCCCUGGGCCUGUACUGACGCUCAUGCACGAAAGCGUGGGGAGCAAACA
rnacentral:rRNA from 1 species